GACGAACGCUGGCGGCGUGCUUAACACAUGCAAGUUGAACGGAAAGGCCCUGCUUUUGUGGGGUGCUCGAGUGGCGAAAGGGUGAGUAACACGUGAGUAACCUGCCCUUGACUUUGGGAUAACUUCAGGAAACUGGGGCUAAUACCGGAUAGGAGCUCCUGCUGCAUGGUGGGGGUUGGAAAGUUUCGGCGGUUGGGGAUGGACUCGCGGCUUAUCAGCUUGUUGGUGGGGUAGUGGCUUACCAAGGCUUUGACGGGUAGCCGGCCUGAGAGGGUGACCGGCCACAUUGGGACUGAGAUACGGCCCAGACUCCUACGGGAGGCAGCAGUGGGGAAUAUUGCACAAUGGGCGGAAGCCUGAUGCAGCAACGCCGCGUGCGGGAUGACGGCCUUCGGGUUGUAAACCGCUUUCGCCUGUGACGAAGCGUGAGUGACGGUAAUGGGUAAAGAAGCACCGGCUAACUACGUG
rnacentral:rRNA from 1 species